AUUGAACGCUGGCGGCAUGCUUUACACAUGCAAGUCGAACGGUAACAGGCCGCAAGGUGCUGACGAGUGGCGAACGGGUGAGUAAUGCAUCGGAACGUGCCCAGUCGUGGGGGAUAACUACUCGAAAGAGUAGCUAAUACCGCAUACGAUCUAUGGAUGAAAGCGGGGGACCGUAAGGCCUCGCGCGAUUGGAGCGGCCGAUGUCAGAUUAGGUAGUUGGUGGGGUAAAGGCUCACCAAGCCAACGAUCUGUAGCUGGUCUGAGAGGACGACCAGCCACACUGGGACUGAGACACGGCCCAGACUCCUACGGGAGGCAGCAGUGGGGAAUCUUGGACAAUGGGCGCAAGCCUGAUCCAGCAAUGCCGCGUGCAGGAAGAAGGCCUUCGGGUUGUAAACUGCUUUUGUACGGAACGAAACGGCUCUGGUUAAUACCCGGGGCUAAUGACGGUACCGUAAGAAUAAGCACCGGCUAACUACGUG
rnacentral:rRNA from 1 species